rnacentral:misc_RNA from 1 species
GAUGAAGAACGUAGCGAAAUGCGAUAAGUAAUGUGAAUUGCAGAAUUCAGUGAAUCAUCGAAUGUUUGAACGCACAUUGCGCCCGCCAGUAUUCUGGCGGGCAUGCCUGUUCGAGCGUCAUUUCAACCCUCAAGACCCCUUCGGGGGACUUGGUGUUGGGGACCGGCACAGGGGCCUGCCUGCUUGUCUUGCAGCGCCCUCGCCGCCCCCGAAAUGAAUUGGCGGCCUCGUCGCGGCCUCCCCUGCGUAGUAGCACAAACCUCGCAACGGGAACGUGACGGCGGCCACUGCCGUAAAACAACCCAAUUUUAUUAGAGUUGACCUCGAAUCAGGUAGGAAUACCCGCUGAACUUAAGCAUAUCAAUAAGCGGAGGA